AGAACUUACGUGUUAAUUCCCGUGAACUAAAAUCCCGUUUCCUUCUUCCUCUUCUGCGUGUGCGACGGCGGGAUCGGGCGAAAACGAAGCCGAGAAGAGAUUAAGGUUUUCUCUUCGGCGGCCGGCCAAAGGGGACUUCUCCACGAGCUCUUCUUGGAUUCGAGCUCCUCUCGUCAAGAAGGAACAGUAGGCACGAGGAAGAGGGCGAGUUUGCGAGAUCCUCCGCAAGCCCUAGAAGCAUUGGAAGCUUUCUUCUCCGGCUGUAAGUCCAAGAAAAGCCUAAGUGAUAAGCAUGCUUGGUUAAUUUUCCCUUGCUGCCGUGAGUUUGAUAAAGAAGAGGAGAAGAGAUCCAUUAAGUUCUUGUACUAGUAUACCAUGAAACAAAACAAGCUUUACAUAGGUUUGAAGAGAAGAUCCCAGCAGAUAAAGGAAAAGAAAAGAUUUAGCAAGGAAGGCGACAAGGUGGCGCAGAUGGUGU